AACGGCUGGGCCCAUUUGGCUCAAAUUUCAGUAGUUCGUAUUUGCCAGAAAAUAUUGGGAAAAAAUACCCGCGAUCGCGAACAAAAUUAAUUUUUUUCUCUUAUGGAAAAAGAUCUUAGCCGUACAAUAGUAAAGAGGCAAAUAUUAUACUCGGAGAUCAGUUCCAAACUCGAGAUAUUCAGGCAGGCUCCGGUUUCCACUUUACAAAAAUGUUCCGAUUUACUUUCACAUAAAUUGGUGCUCCCGUUUUCACAAUCUAAAAGAUUUCUCUGAGAUGAGAUAUAAUUGGCUUUUUACACAACAAAAUUAAUCUUAAUUGCAUAAAGAAAAAAAUAGAUGACCGCGCAUUUUCUGCCGUCGUUUGGCUUUAAAACAAAUAUUUUAAAAGUAAAGACUUAUACCGCUGUAUUUACGAAGCUGAUUUUUAAACGGUUGGCCGAAAACGUAAAACAAAACCCGGAGCCUCCCUGAAACAAUCAAUUGAGAGAGUUUAUCUGAGGGCGUUAAAUUGAGCCCCAAGUCCCUCUUAUAAAUGGAUUUUGUUGUCUUGUAGGUUAUACAAUAACAAAGACAAUCACGAUAGUGUAACUAACUUAGUAACUUUCAGAAAAAACAAGGCAAGACAUCGCUGUUUUUAAUUCGGAUCCAUUGCAGAAAGCUAAUCAGUGGGACGGUCAGGCUGAUGUCCAGGACUGAUCGUGUUUUCAAUCAAGUUUACUGGAGCCCACUCUUAAGUUUUCUGACAUCCGUAUCAGCUCCAAGCUGGGGAAUACCCACCCAUCCAAGUUACAACAACCAUGCCAACAGGCUUACAGCUUGGGAGAUCGACCGAUCUUGGGAUGAUGCUAUUGGGCCCAAGCGACCGUCCUUAACUCAGUAGCUCAGUAUUGAUGGUCCUCGCACACAGUAAAAAUAUGUACAUAUGUAAUACAUGUAAGUCGGACAGUCACACAGAUCGGACAUUGACCUACACCAUACAGCUGCCGUACCUAUUACAAAGACCCAUCGAAGAAGUUCGUCACUUUUUCUGGAAUACCUCGGCUUCAUAAAAAUACCUAUGUAUUUAUCUGUAGUUUUUCGUAGUCGGAAAUAUCCAAGUACAUUUGUACGGUAGAAAAAGUUAAGAGAAAUUUAAAAAAGAAUGUAAAGCGCAAAAACAACGAAUUCACGAGCUUCGUUUAUUAAACUACUGAUUUGUUAACAAA